GUUUGCGUUCCUUCCUGACAUACACUGGAGGCAAUUUUGAUUCUGGAAUAGGGGUGGUAUCAUACAUCAGGCACAUCACAGAAUCGAUGUAGAUGUCAUUGUCAUCCUGAGGUGGAGUGGGGGGAGUCCAAAGUGGCAUUAUUUCAGUUUGUCCAUCUGGACCUUCGUAGACAUACUCUUUGUUGUAUGCAUCCUCCCGAGUGUAGGUGAGAAGUUCCU
rnacentral:lncRNA from 1 species